rnacentral:lncRNA from 1 species
CGGGAUACUAGAUGAUGAAGGAACUGGGAUAGAUGAAUGACUCUAAAACUAUGGGUGGUUCCCUUCAUAAGACCUAGCCGGACUAUACUGAUGCUGCUCGAAUCUAGCACUCUUGUUACCCCUCACUCUCUCUCUCUCUUUUAUCUUAUCUACUUAUAUCUGUUGUGUAUAUAUCAUCAAUAUGGACAGGUCUAUAUCACUAUUAAGCAUCGUAG